rnacentral:rRNA from 1 species
UACGUAGGGGGCAAGCGUUGUCCGGAUUUAUUGGGCGUAAAGAGCUCGUAGGUGGUUCGGUAAGUCGGAUGUGAAAUCUCCAGGCUCAACCUGGAGGGGUCAUUCGAUACUGCCGUGACUAGAGGUCGGUAGGGGAGUGUGGAAUUCCUGGUGGAGCGGUGAAAUGCGCAGAUAUCAGGAGGAACACCGGUGGCGAAGGCGCCACUCUGGGCCGGUACUGACGCUGAGGAGCGAAAGCGUGGGUAGCAAACAGG